UGGGGAAUUUGGACAAUGGGCGAAAGCCUGAUCCAGCAAUGCCGCGUGUGUGAAGAAGGCCUUCGGGUUGUAAAGCACUUUUGUCCGGAAAGAAAUCCUUGGCUCUAAUACAGUCGGGGGAUGACGGUACCGGAAGAAUAAGCACCGGCUAACUACGUGCCAGCAGCCGCGGUAAUACGUAGGGUGCAAGCGUUAAUCGGAAUUACUGGGCGUAAAGCGUGCGCAGGCGGUUUGCUAAGACCGAUGUGAAAUCCCCGGGCUCAACCUGGGAACUGCAUUGGUGACUGGCAGGCUAGAGUAUGGCAGAGGGGGGUAGAAUUCCACGUGUAGCAGUGAAAUGCGUAGAGAUGUGGAGGAAUACCGAUGGCGAAGGCAGCCCCUGGCCAAUACUGACGCUCAUGCACGAAAAGCGUGGGGGAGCAAAACAGGAUUAGAUACCCUGGUAGUCCACGCCCUAAAACGAUGUC
rnacentral:rRNA from 1 species